rnacentral:tRNA from 1 species
GGGAUGUGGCUCAGUGGUAGAGCACCUUUCUGGCAUGUGGUAGGCCCUGGGUUUGAUCCCCAGUUCCCA